rnacentral:rRNA from 1 species
GACGGAAGGUGCAAGCGUUGCUCGGAAUUACUGGGCGUAAAGGGCGCGUAGGCGGGAUGGCAAGUCGGUCGUGAAAUCCCUCGGCUCAACUGAGGAUCGUCGAUCGAUACUGCCGUUCUUGAGGAUUGCAGAGGAGACUGGAAUUCCCGGUGUAGCGGUGAAAUGUGUAGAGAUCGGGAGGAACACCGGUGGCGAAGGCGGGUCUCUGGGCAAUUCCUGACGCUGAGGCGCGAAAGCGUGGGGAGCAAACGGG